rnacentral:rRNA from 1 species
AACGUUCCGAAAGGAGCGCUAAUACCGCAUACGUCCUACGGGAGAAAGCAGGGGACCUUCGGGCCUUGCGCUAAUAGAUGAGCCUAAGUCGGAUUAGCUAGUUGGUAGGGUAAAGGCCUACCAAGGCGACGAUCUGUAGCGGGUCUGAGAGGAUGAUCCGCCACACUGGGACUGAGACACGGCCCAGACUCCUACGGGAGGCAGCAGUGGGGAAUAUUGGACAAUGGGGGGAACCCUGAUCCAGCCAUGCCGCGUGUGUGAAGAAGGCCUUUUGGUUGUAAAGCACUUUAAGCGAGGAGGAGGCUACCUAGAUUAAUACUUUAGGAUAGUGGACGUUACUCGCAGAAUAAGCACCGGCUAACUCUGUGCCAGCAGCCGCGGUAAUACAGAGGGUGCGAGCGUUAAUCGGAUUUACUGGGCGUAAAGCGUGCGUAGGCGGCCAAUUAAGUCAAAUGUGAAAUCCCCGAGCUUAACUUGGGAAUUGCAUUCGAUACUGGUUGGCUAGAGUAUGGGAGAGGAUGGUAGAAUUCCAGGUGUAGCGGUGAAAUGCGUAGAGAUCUGGAGGAAUACCGAUGGCGAAAGCAGCCAUCUGGCCUAAUACUGACGC